GCCGUAGCAGCUCAGUCGGUAGAGCAGGGACUGAAAAUCCCCAUGGCGGCGGUUCAAUUUUGUCCCACGGCA
rnacentral:tRNA from 1 species